rnacentral:rRNA from 1 species
GACGAAGGUGGCGAGCGUUGUUCGGAAUGACUGGGCGUAAAGGGCACGUAGGCGGUGAAUCGGGUUGAAAGUGAAAGUCGCCAAAAAGUGGCGGAAUGCUCUCGAAACCAAUUCACUUGAGUGAGACAGAGGAGAGUGGAUUUCGUGUGUGAGGGGUGAAAUCCGUAAAUAUACGAAGGAACGCCAAAAGCGAAGGCAGCUCUC